rnacentral:rRNA from 1 species
GGAGUUUGGUCCGUGUCUCAGUACCAAUGUGGGGGACCUUCCUCUCAGAACCCCUACUGAUCGUUGCCCCGGUGGGCCGUUACCCCGCCGGCAAGCUAAUCAGACGCAUCCCCAUCCCUUACCGAUGAAUCUUUGCUCCUCGUUAGAUGCCUGCUAAGGAGAACAUAGAGUAUUAAUCCGACUUUCGCCGGGCUAUCCUCUAGUAAGGGGAAGGUUGGAUACGCGUUACUCACCCAUUCGCCGGUCGCCAUCAGAGACAGCAAGCUGCCUCCAUGAUGCCCCUCGACUUGCAUGUGUUAAGCCUGUAGCUAGCGUUCAUC